CGGUGACUAGUGGACCAAGUGGAUCCGAGACUGAUUUGCACAAACAGGUUCUGGAUAUAUUCCUUGAACAUGUGAACAUAUGAGUUUAAAAUUACUUCUUGACUCAACAAAUAUAAAUGGAUGCUAUCAUGUACCAUGUGGAUAUAUGGGGAAUAUGUACACAACAAUUGAUGAUUUUCACUUCAGACAACUUUAAUCGAAUGACGCUCUUGUUCGUUUGGCUGAUAAGACAUGGCAGAAGGUCGAAUAUACUAAGUGGUGGAGCUAGAUGAUGGUCAUGGUGAUGGUGAUAGCCUAAGUGAAGGUCUUCAAACUUGGAAAAGAAGAAAAAAAAUAAAAUGGCCUCAAAACAAAGGUAUAUUUGAUAAGGUCAUUUUAUUUUGACACAAGGCAUGAGUAUGAGUAAAUUUAGGAUAGAUAGC